rnacentral:rRNA from 1 species
GACGAACGCUGGCGGCGUGCCUAAUACAUGCAAGUCGAACGAAGCUGUUUUAACUGGUGCUUGCACCGACUUAAACAACUGAGUGGCGGACGGGUGAGUAACACGUGGGUAACCCGCCCCAAAGCGGGGGAUAACAUUUGGAAACAGAUGCUAAUACCGCAUAACCACAGAAACCACAUGGUUUCUGUGUCAAAGAUGGUUUCGGCUAUCACUUUGGGAUGGACCCGCGGCGUAUUAGCUAGUUGGUAAGGUAAUGGCUUACCAAGGCAAUGAUACGUAGCCGAACUGAGAGGUUGAUCGGCCACAUUGGGACUGAGACACGGCCCAAACUCCUACGGGAGGCAGCAGUAGGGAAUCUUCCACAAUGGACGAAAGUCUGAUGGAGCAACGCCGCGUGAGUGAAGAAGGUUUUCGGAUCGUAAAACUCUGUUGUCAGAGAAGAACGUGUGCGAGAGUAACUGUUCGUGCAGUGACGGUAUCUGGCCAGAAAGCCACGGCUAACUACGUGCCAGCAGCCGCGGUAA